CGUGAGUGAUGAAGGCUUUCGGGUCGUAAAGCUCUGUCAAGUGGGAAGAAACCAUAUGGUAUUAAUACCGCCAUAUGUUGACGGUACCAUUGAAGGAAGCACCGGCUAACUCCGUGCCAGCAGCCGCGGUAAUACGGGGGGUGCGAGCGUUAUUCGGAUUUACUGGGCGUAAAGAGCGCGUAGGCGGUCUUUUAAGUCAGGUGUGAAAGCCCGGGGCUCAACCCCGGAAGUGCACUUGAAACUAAGAGACUUGAGUAUGGGAGAGGGAAGUGGAAUUCCUGGUGUAGCGGUGAAAUGCGUAGAUAUCAGGAGGAACAUCGGUGGCGAAGGCGACUUCCUGGACCAGUACUGACGCUGAGGCGCGAAGGCGUGGGGAGCAAACAGGAUUAGAUACCCUGGUAGUCCACGCAGUAAACGGUGAACACUAGGUGUAGCGGGUAUUGACCCCUGCUGUGCCGCAGCAAACGCAUUAA
rnacentral:rRNA from 1 species